rnacentral:rRNA from 1 species
GGGCACCUGGAUGAACUAGCAUGCGAGUCAUUGUAGUAAUACAAGGCAGACGGCUCAGUAACGCGUAGUCAACCUAACCUAUGGACGGGAAUAACCUCGGGAAACUGAGUAUAAUGCCCGAUAGAACAUUAUGCCUGGAAUGGUUUAUGUUCCGAAUGAUUUAUCGCCGUAGGAUGGGACUGCGGCCUAUCAGUUUGUUGGUGAGGUAAUGGCCCACCAAGACUAUUACAGGUACGGGCUCUGAGAGGAGUGGCCCGGAGAUGGGUACUGAGACACGGACCCAGGCCCUAUGGGGCGCAGCAGGCGAGAAAACUUUGCAAUGUGCGAAAGCACGACAAGGUUAAUCCGAGUGGUUUCUGCUAAAGGAACCUUUUGUCGGUCCUAGAAACACCGAUGAAUAAGGGGUGGGCAAGUUCUGGUGUCAGCCGCCGCGGUAAAACCAGCACCUCAAGUGGUCAGGAUGAUUAUUGGGCCUAAAGCAUCCGUAGCCGGCUUUGUUAGUUUUCGGUUAAAUCUGUACGCUUAACGUACAGGCUGCCGGGAAUACUGCAGAGCUAGGGAGUGGGAGAGGUAGACGGUACUCGGUAGGAAGGGGUAAAAUCCUUUGAUCUAUUGAUGACCACCUGUGGCGAAGGCGGUCUACCAGAACACGUCCGACGGUGAGGGAUGAAAGCUGGGGGAGCAAACCGGAUUAGAUACCCGGGUAGUCCCAGCUGUAAACUAUGCAAACUCAGUGAUGCAUUGGCUUGUGGCCAAUGCAGUGCUGCAGGGAAGCCGUUAAGUUUGCCGCCUGGGGAAGUACGUACGCAAGUAUGAAACUUAAAGGAAUUGGCGGGGGAGCACCACAAGGGGUGAAGCCUGCGGUUCAAUUGGAUUCAACGCCGGGAAUC